UGAUGGAUUCAACAUUUAUAUUAAUCUCACUGUGUAUGUAAUGGAAACAUCUUGGGCGACCAUUGCUUAAGGAGGAUAAACUAAGGAGGAUGAAAUGAGGAAGGGCAGACUGACCUUAACUCUGGCCUGAAUACACUGUACUGAAGUGUUAUUUUUGUGUUUCCUGUAAGCAAAAAAGGAACUACUCCUUUAAUGUUUUGCAUGUUCCCCCUCCCGUUCUGAGAUGAGUAGUUCCCAUUGUAACUAGGGGUCCUAAUACUGAAUAAAAGGCGUGGAGAAACGAGAGAAGGCUUUAGAGAGUAUUGGGUGAACGGCAAGUUACAUGUAACUAAAGCUCUUCUCUCGGUACUCCCUCCACGCGUGUAAAAGAUAUUAA